CACCCUGUCAGACCAUACUUGUU
rnacentral:miRNA from 4 species